CCGGCAGUAAACGAGUCAGUUUCGCAUUACAAUGGGCAAUGGGGACUCCUUCGCAUGCCUUCACUAGCCCACAAAGAGCCGCUGGAGCAAAAAGCAUUUUUACAACAGUUGAGUUUACUGGGAAAUAAAUAGAAGAAAUCGAUUAAAACCCGAAAGUCAUGGACAACCGCUUAGUGAUAUAAGAUGUUUUAGAUGUGGAUUGUUCGCGGAUCCGUUUAGGAAAGUUAGGAAAAACGUCGCAGCCAGGAAAUAGAAGGAAAACCAGCAAAACGGAGAGCAGAAGUGAAAAACCGCGUGUGAAUCUCUUCAAAAAUCACGAGUUUCCCUAAAGAUACGGAGAAGUCCGAAGAAAGGAUGAGAAAAAGGAAAAGAAAACGCACUCACCAGACAUUUUGGCGUGAAGAAGAAGAUGAAGUUCAGGGAGGCAGCCAAAACGCCUGUUCUUGGCUCUGUUAAAUGGGCAAGAACGAAUUAUUCACAAAAGUAUCCAAAAGUCUCAAUAAAGAACUCUCCAAACACUCUCACCAUAUACAAUAAUAUAGUAAUAUAGCUGGGGAAGUAUUAGUUUGAGUUUUUCUGCCCUCAUCCCUACUAUUUAAAUGCCCAAGAAGUCCAUGAUUUGACAAUGAUUUGAUUGCGCGAUACUUUCAAUUUGAAUAUUCAAAGACUUCGCUAAAAUACUUAUAUCUUAGUGAAAUUCGCAUUUAGAAUGCAUACAACAACACUCACUAUAAUAUAAUAUCAUGCUAUUUCACACUUUGACCUAAAAACAAAAAUAUAUUUUAACAUUUUACCAUCCUUUUAAUAUUGCUGGAUAGAGUCUUCCUGUGAAGCUCUGUUUCCACUUUACACUGAAUUAUGACUGAAAUAAGACAUUUUACACCAUUUUUCACAUCAAGCAUUUAUUCCACAGUGGUAAGGAUACUUAAAAAGCACACUUAUGACGAUCUCAGGCCUAUUUUUAAUAUAUUUUUCUGAAAUAUAUGACUGGUGGGCGUGGCAUAUAGUAGCAGCCAUUUUGCCAGGAGAGCACUUGGAUGGAGCUCGAGCUCUGUUCCCAGGUGAUUCUGCCAUACACUGCCCAGUGUGAUAACCACACACAAAUCAAAUUAAAGACCAGCACAGAUGAAUAAUAAGCUUUAUUUCAGAUUUACAACAUAAUCUGAAUUUUUAAGCAGGUUUUGAUAAAAUACAUUUUUAACUCUUAUCCCCAGUCAUUUUCUGUCCAGUGUGGACCACAAGGGAUCAGGUGUAUUGUCGGAUGUUCCUUAAAAAAACUAAAAUUUAAUUAUAACCAUUCUUUAUAAAACAUGUAUCCGUUUAUAUAAGUCUAAAAAUAAUUUUAAAAAUUAAAGACAAAAAAAAAAAAAAAAAAACUGUAGCACUGAUGUACUCGAGCAACGUUUAAACUAAUGCCCUACAACUGGGUACAAAUUUCACUGUAAGAAAACAGACAAUGUAUUUCAUAAAAUAUAACAAUAAUGAUAACAAUGAACACAUAAAUAAAUGCUUCAGGUGUGGCUUUAGAUCAAAAUAAAAAUAAAAAAAUGGUCGCCGCUCCGUGAAAGGACUUAGAUAUUGUAUGUAUUCUUUAAAUACAUGAUUAAUAUGCAUAAUCUUAAUAAUCAUAUGUUGUGCGACUUUUCAAUUUAAUAUUUUGGUCUCAUUAAAAAGUUUGGGCAUUUCUGGUCAAAUUGCAGGUAUUUCUUAUUGUAUAGAUGCAAAUAAUUUCAACUUAUGCAUAUUUUAAUUAUAAUUGCUUUUUAGUAUAUCUACAUUUAACACAUUCAAUCUUUUACACAUAAUAUCAUAAAUAAUUUUCCAAUAUUUAAAAAUGCAUAAAUAAAAAAACAACUUGAUACAUUUUUUAUUUUAGAUGUAUAUUUUUAUUUAAAUGUAUAUAUUUAUAAGAUAAAACACAGAUCCCUAAGCAUUAUUUCCAUUAUUUCGUCGUUGUCAUUAAAAAACGUUGUUGUAUUUGACAAAAUAAUUAUAUACUGAUUUUCAUUGAAAUUUCAGGUUUUUCAUCCUUUAAAUAUUUUUUUUUGUUUUUAAUAUAUUUUACUCGUAUAUGUAAAACUACGCUAGUUUGCUAUAUGUAGAAAUAGAUGUAAGGUGUCUUCCCAUCUAAUUUUUAAGAAAACGCCUCCUUCAUCAUUCACGUUAGAGCUGAUCCACCAACAUGUUCUUGUUAGAUGGGCUUUUUAGAUGUUUUGUAAUGGAUUUUCCACAAUUGCUACCUUUAUAAUGAUGCACACAAUAAAAAUAUCUGAAUAAAUAAUCAUAUAAAAUAUGUA